UACGAAGGGGGCGAGCGUUGUUCGGAUUUACUGGGCGUAAAGGGCGCGUAGGCGCUUGUCAGUCAGGCGUGAAAGCCCCGGGCUCAACCUGGGAACGGCGCUUGGGACGGCGAGGCUGGAGUUCGGGAGAGGAGAGUGGAAUUCCCAGUGUAGAGGUGAAAUUCGUAGAUAUUGGGAAGAACACCGGUGGCGAAGGCGGCUCUCUGGACCGACACUGACGCUGAGGCGCGAAAGCGUGGGAGCAAACAGG
rnacentral:rRNA from 1 species